UUUAAAUUUAGAGUUUGAUCCUGGCUCAGGACGAACGCUGGCGGCGUGCUUAACACAUGCAAGUCGAGCGAUGAAGCUUCCUUCGGGAAGUGGAUUAGCGGCGGACGGG
rnacentral:rRNA from 1 species